AGCAUCUGGUUUAAAAAGAACCGAGGAGUGUUGCAGAGAUGGUGAAAUGUUAGGAUUCCAUAGCCAGGAGGGAGUGAUGGAGCUGAGAAGAAUGGCAGAGAAGGAAGAAAUGGUGGCUAUGACAAUACAAAGGAGAAUGAUCACCUGUUCCUGAUAAACUACGUCCUUGGAUACUACAAAAACUUUCAGAUGUGACUGGUGGAUAAGCCACUGUAAGUGAUAUUUGAAAGUCUACAGAGAACAGGAAAGGUACCACAGUACUGGCAUAGACAAGGAAGA
rnacentral:lncRNA from 1 species